UACGCUAUAACCUUCAGUGGUAGAGUGCAUGCUUUUUGAGUAUGUCGUCCUGGGUUCAAAUCCCAGCUGCUCCC